CAACAGGGAUUGCCUCAGUAACGGCGAGUGAAGCGGCAAGAGCUCAAAUUUGAAAUCUGGCGUCGCAGGGCGUCCGAGUUGUAAUUUGGAGAGGCAUCUUCGGGCGGGGCCCAGCCUAUGUUCCUUGGAACAGGACGUCACAGAGGGUGAGAAUCCCGUGCACGGCUGGGCGCCCCCGCCUGUAUGUAGUGUCUUCUACGAGUCGAGUUGUUUGGGAAUGCAGCUCAAAAUGGGUGGUAAAUUUCAUCUAAAGCUAAAUAUUGGCGAGAGACCGAUAGCGCACAAGUAGAGUGAUCGAAAGAUGAAAAGCACUUUGAAAAUAGAGUCAAACAGUACGUGAAAUUGUUGAAAGGGAAGCGCUUGAGACCAGACUCAGCCUAGGGCAAACAUCCUUCCUUCUGGUUGGUGCACUUGCCCCUGGCUGGGCCAGCAUCAGUUGGGACGGCGGGAUAAAGGUCCGGGGAAUGUGGCUCCCCUCGGGGAGUGUUAUAGCCCCGGAUACCAUGCCGCCCCUCCCGACUGAGGACCGCGCUUCGGCUAGGAUGCUGGCGUAAU
rnacentral:rRNA from 1 species